GAGCUCUUCAAUUUGGACCGAUCAGUUUCUCCGUUCGUAUAGAGCAUCCUGUGGAAUUAGAGACGUUUGACGUUUAUAGAGUUGUUUAAGCAGGAAACCAGUGGUGGAUGCUGUUUCAGAGUCACCUCUGGAGGUUGAGGAACCAUCUUUUAGGUCGGAAGGAGGUCCCAAUGAGAAGCUGUUGUAAGUGGUUAGCUUGUGUUUAGGGUUGUAAAGGUUUGGUAUGUAUAAUUGAUAUAUUUAUAU